AGAGUUUGAUCCUGGCUCAGGACGAACGCUGGCGGCGUGCUUAACACAUGCAAGUCGAACGCUGAAGCCUAGCUUUUGUUGGGUGGAUGAGUGGCGAACGGGUGAGUAACACGUGAGUAACCUGCCCCCUUCUUUGGGAUAACGCCCGGAAACGGGUGCUAAUACUGGAUAUUCACUGAUCUUCGCAUGGGGGUUGGUGGAAAGGUUUGUUCUGGUGGGGGAUGGGCUCGCGGCCUAUCAGCUUGUUGGUGGGGUGAUGGCCUACCAAGGCGGUGACGGGUAGCCGGCCUGAGAGGGUGGACGGUCACACUGGGACUGAGACACGGCCCAGACUCCUACGGGAGGCAGCAGUGGGGAAUAUUGCACAAUGGGCGCAAGCCUGAUGCAGCGACGCCGCGUGAGGGAUGACGGCCUUCGGGUUGUAAACCUCUGUUAGCAGGGAAGAAGAGAGAUUGACGGUACCUGCAGAGAAAGCGCCGGCUAACUACGUGCCAGCAGCCGCGGUAAUACGUAGGGCGCGAGCGUUGUCCGGAAUUAUUGGGCGUAAAGAGCUCGUAGGCGGCUGGUCGCGUCUGUCGUGAAAUCCUCUGGCUUAACUGGGGGCUUGCGGUGGGUACGGGCCGGCUUGAGUGCGGUAGGGGAGACUGGAACUCCUGGUGUAGCGGUGGAAUGCGCAGAUAUCAGGAAGAACACCGGUGGCGAAGGCGGGUCUCUGGGCCGUUACUGACGCUGAGGAGCGAAAGCGUGGGGAGCGAACAGGAUUAGAUACCCUGGUAGUCCACGCUGUAAACGUUGGGCACUAGGUGUGGGGGCCACCCGUGGUUUCUGCGCCGUAGCUAACGCUUUAAGUGCCCCGCCUGGGGAGUACGGCCGCAAGGCUAAAACUCAAAGGAAUUGAC
rnacentral:rRNA from 1 species